UUCUGAUCGGCUAAACAGCUCUGGCAUUUAGUAGGCUACAGAGAAAGUUAUGAACUCGGCACAAAAAUGAUCGUCCAUUAAUUGAAUAUAGCGGGACAUUUCGAGGACGUCAUCUCUUAAGUUCUCAGCAUGAGAAAUACAAGCAUGGAAGAAACAGAAAUAAGAACUGUCUGGAGACUAAUGCGUUCUUGCCCCUCACCAAAGCCUGCCAGCACAGCAUCUGUACGCUGCAAGGCGAGCAAAAUUGUCAAAGGCUUUUUGUGUGCCAGGUCCUCACCUCGGCUGUAAUGCCUCUGCAGCAAAUGUCUGAACCAGCACAUCUGACCUUGAACAUCGCUGGACCAUUGUUUAAUUAAAUUAAAUCUCUCUGAUACCUCUCCCAGCUCUGGAAAAUUAGAGAUAACAGCACAAAAUUGUGCGGGGAAAAAAAAUCUUUUCUCACAGAGAGUCUGUCAGAUCGCCUGGAUUCUUUUCUCUCUUGCCUCUGUUCGUUGUGUUCAGCCUCUUUAUCUGUUAUCGCCUUUUACCCUCUGUGUCAGAAAUAUCCAUAAAAUGUUGAAAAGAAAGCUGUCAACAGUUAAUGUUAUGUAAGUCUGCUGCUGAUUUAUUGACAAAAUCCUUGGAA